rnacentral:rRNA from 1 species
GAAUAUUGCACAAUGGGCGCAAGCCUGAUGCAGCCAUGCCGCGUGUGUGAAGAAGGCCUUCGGGUUGUAAAGCACUUUCAGCGGGGAGGAAGGCGUUAAGGUUAAUAACCUCAUCGAUUGACGUUACCCGCAGAAGAAGCACCGGCUAACUCCGUGCCAGCAGCCGCGGUAAUACGGAGGGUGCAAGCGUUAAUCGGAAUUACUGGGCG